rnacentral:sRNA from 1 species
AAGUACCACUCGCACACGCCGGUUCCUGCGCCACCUGACGACUGCUCGCUACGCCGUGUUAGCC